CUCUCCCACCUUCAUGACCUCAGAUGCUAAUACUGACGAGAGUGGAAGGAAGGAGCAGCGCAGACGACGAGAAGGCCAGAAGAAAAGCAGCCAAAGCAGAGGUAGAAUCAGAUCUGCAGUGACGUUGACGACCUGCAGUGGAAUCAACGAUCUAGAAAAUGUAACAGAAGAUAUGAGUCUGAAUCUUCAGACAGUGAGGAAGGAACACCAGUAGGAAGGAAAAAAGACUCAGUUCCUGUCCCACCACUACCACCAACACCAACCUGGACAUGGUCACUGCCAUGUGGAUCACCACAUAUUCAGCCAUCACCACCACUAAUUCCAACGUCACCUAGAAGAACAUCACUUGGGCAAGCGACUGACUGCCUUCCUUGGAACCAUUGGUGGGGUGGAUGUUCCUAGUGCUGUCCGCAGAAUUAUGGCAGCCUUACUUGGUAAUGAAUUGGCAACCAAAUUCAAUUGGAAGGGAUUUGGAAACAAAAGAUCAUUUUAUGACCUCAAACUUCGAAAAGUAAUGGCUGCACAGGACUCAGAAAUUGAGACAGUAGCCAUGCUGUGGCUAAGAAAUGCACGAGAUCGGGCAGGUGGAAGGAAGCAGCGCCUCUUGCAGGCAAUGAAGAAACAUCAGGAGCAGCAGCAGUAGCAAUAACAAAACCAUAUCAAAACUUUGACCCACAUGCAACUUACAAGCCUGGUACUGAUGGUGACUUUUUUUGCUUGUCGGAGGGAUAUUCCUUCUACCCCAGAGGGCACCCGUCACUUGUAGGGGCUUGUAAUUUGCGAUUAGCGGGUGGGUCAAAGUUUUGAUUUGAUCUGGACCUGUGUUACGUUUAUUAUUUAUCAUUUAAAUUGUUAAA